AUUGAACGCUGGCGGCAGGCCUAACACAUGCAAGUCGAACGAGUGGCGGACGGGAGAGUAAUGUCUGGGAAACGGCCUGAGGGAGGGGGAUAACUACUGGAAACGGUAGCUAAUACCGCAUACCAUCGGAUGUGCCCAGAUGGGAUUAUCUUGUGGGUGGGGUAACGGCGCACCAAGGCCACGAUCCCUACCUGGUCUGAGAGGAUGACCCGCCACACUGGAACUGAGACACGGUCCAGACUCCUACGGGAGGCAGCAGGGGGGAAUAUUGGACAAUGGGCGCAAGCCUGAUGCAGCCAUGCCGCGUGUAUGAAGAAGGCCUUCGGGUUGUAAAGUACUUUCAGCGGGGAGGCGUUACCCGCAGAAGAAGCACCGGCUAACUCCGUGCCAGCAGCCGCGGUAAUUC
rnacentral:rRNA from 1 species